rnacentral:tRNA from 1 species
GCGCGGUUAGCUCAGCGGUAGAGCACUUCGUUCACACCGAAGGGGUCGCUGGUUCAAAUCCAGUACCGCGCACCA